rnacentral:lncRNA from 1 species
UUUUUUUUAAAGCAGAAGGUCAUUUAUCUCCACUGCUGGCAUUAAGGUGUCAUUAAUAUUGAAAAGCCCAAUAUCAAUAAUAAAAACGUCUUCAGCACUGAGGCCUGGAUUGUGUGGAAGCAUUGGAUUUCUGCAAUUAAAAGAUCAUGUAAGGGAAAAACCGAAGCAGAACUCUGCAGCAUCACUGGAGGAGAACACAGGAUACAUGUGGGAGACAGAUCAGACGCUUCGAUGAUUCAAAUCCUGAUGACAUGAUAAGCAGGAGACAGAUCAGACGCUUCGAUGAUUCAAAUCCUGAUGACAUGAUAAGCAUACUUCUGACCUCAGUCCGUCACCAUGGUUUUCACUCCUGGUAAAUUCAUUUGUUUCAUCAAGAGAAUGCAGCCUUUCUAAGAUGCACUAUGAAAUUGAACACAGAAGGAGGUUUAGAAGAGACAAGCAACAGGGACAAACAAGCCAUUACAGGGCAGGAGCCCAUUGUCAGUUUCCAGAACUAUAAGAAAAUACAAGGGUUUCCUCUGGUGAUCAAAGCCACCCUGGUCAUGCGUGCAGCAGGUCAGAAGUGUCAGAGAUUCAGCUCUAGCAACCGUGGUCAUGAUGUGCUGUGUCAGCCCUUAUGGAUUUACCACUGAAGCUGGGAGAAGAGCACAUGAAGACAAGCCGAGGGGCAGAGAUUUAUCAAAGGGCUCCCUGCCUUUCUGACAGAUGUGCUGCAGCGGCC